GAUGAACGCUGGCGGCGUGCCUAAUACAUGCGAGUCGAGCGAACAGACGAGGAGCUUGCUCCUCUGACGUUAGCGGCGGACGGGUGAGUAACACGUGGAUAACCUACCUAUAAGACUGGGAUAACUUCGGGAAACCGGAGCUAAUACCGGAUAAUAUAUUGAACCGCAUGGUUCAAUAGUGAAAGACGGUUUUGCUGUCACUUAUAGAUGGAUCCGCGCCGCAUUAGCUAGUUGGUAAGGUAACGGCUUACCAAGGCGACGAUGCGUAGCCGACCUGAGAGGGUGAUCGGCCACACUGGAACUGAGACACGGUCCAGACUACUACGGGAGGCAGCAGUAGGGAAUCUUCCGCAAUGGGCGAAAGCUUGACGGAGCAACGCCGCGGGAGUGAUGAAGGUCUUCGGAUCGUAAAACUCUGUUAUUAGGGAAGAACAAAUGUGUAAGUAACUAUGCACGUCUUGACGGUACCUAAUCAGAAAGCCACGGCUAACUACGU
rnacentral:rRNA from 1 species